GGCUGGGUGGCAGGAAAGGGUUUGAGCCCUGGGUUUCGGAGUCAGCCACCUGGGUUCAAAUCCCGGCUCAGCCA
rnacentral:tRNA from 1 species